GACGAACGCUGGCGGCGUGCUUAACACAUGCAAGUCGAACGGUAAGGCCCCAGCUUGCUGGGGUACACGAGUGGCGAACGGGUGAGUAACACGUGGGUGACCUGCCCCGCACUUCGGGAUAAGCCUGGGAAACUGGGUCUAAUACCGGAUACGACCGCACCGUGAGGGUGUGGUGGUAAGUUUUUCGGGGUGGGCUGGGCCCGCGGCCUAUCAGCUUGUUGGUGGGGUAAUGGGCUACCAAGUCGGCGACGGGUAGCCGGCCUGGGUGGGUGGACGGCCACAAGGGGCCUAAGACAGGGCGCAGUCGCCAACGGUAGGCAGCAGGGGGAAGUAUGGCGGAGCGGCCGGGAGCCUGAGACGGCGGCCCCGGGAGGGGAAUACCCGCUUACGGGUUAAAAACACCUCUCACCAUCAACAAAGAUUUCCUGACGGUAGAUAAUGAGAAAGCACCGGCUAACUACGUG
rnacentral:rRNA from 1 species